UAAUAUAACAAAUAUUAUUGAUAGUAUGUCGGGGUAAUCUGGGGGGUAAUGCCCACUACAAUUAAAAACUUCUAUAGAGUAUAACCUGUAAUAAAACUACGUUUUACAUAAAAUCCAACCUCCCCUCCGACCAGAGACCAGAAUUUACAAUAUUCAAACAAUUUGUGUGGGCUAAACCUAAGAUCUUGUUCCACAUAAUAACUGUCAGCACAUUA
rnacentral:lncRNA from 1 species